UGUUUUCCACAUGUAGGUGAAAAACACUUCACUUUGUUCCCUGCUGAAAGUGUGCCAAAUGAACUUUGAACUGCUGCUAAGGAACAAUAGACAAUAAUGUUAAGAGAAAACGUCUGUACACCAGGAUUAAAUCACUGAAAGUAUGUUUAUACUUGUGUAUUUGAUAUCAUUUUUGACAGUUAUCAAUGCAGAAUCUGUCCUCCUGUGAUCAGAUCUUCAUCCACAGGCUGACCAUCUCUGGACAGGGUCAGGUUUAUGUGACGGGGGUAAAAACCAGUGGCUAGACAGCUGAUCUGAAGCCCCUGAGAGUCUGUAAGAGGCUUCCUGAAGAGUCUGACUUUGGGUUUCACUUUGGAAAGGAAUGUUAGAAACAGUUGACAGUAAUGGGUCAAAAUUUAUAUAUGGAAUGCCCGCAAAGUCUUUAUGCAAACAGGAUGAUAAACAUGUUCAUACAGAAACUUCACAUGAAGCCAUUCCAUCUGACCCAUGCCUUUUAUUCUCAUCCAUGGUAAAUUAAUUUGCAUAGUUCUUUUUACCACAUCA